GAUGAAGAACGUAGCGAAAUGCGAUACGUAAUGUGAAUUGCAAAUUCAGUGAAUCAUCGAGUCUUUGAACGCACAUUGCGCCCCCUGGUAUUCCGGGGGGCAUGCCUGUCCGAGCGUCAUUGCUGCCCUCAAGCACGGCUUGUGUGUUGGGCCCCGUCCUCCGAUCCCGGGGGACGGGCCCGAAAGGCAGCGGCGGCACCGCGUCCGGUCCUCGAGCGUAUGGGGCUUCGUCACCCGCUCUGUAGGCCCGGCCGGCGCUUGCCGAUCAACCCAAAUUUUUAUCCAGGUUGACCUCGGAUCAGGUAGGGAUACCCGCUGAACUUAAGCAUAUCAAUAAGCGGAGGA
rnacentral:misc_RNA from 1 species